CACGAACUUAGCCCGUGCUUACUGCACCUCGGUCAUUCUUCCUCGGUGCCUUUGCGCUUUACAACCCGAAGGCCUUCGUCGCGCACGCGGCGUCGCUCGGUCAGGCUUGCGCCCAUUGCCGAAGAUCCUCGACUGCAGCCUCCCGUAGGAGUCUGGCCAGUGUCUCAGUGCCAGUGGCGCGGGUCGUGCUCUCACACCCGCUAGCCGUCUGAGCCUUGGUGGGCCGUUACCCCGCCAACUAGCUGAUAGCACGUGGGCCCCUCCGGGGCGGAACCUUUGGCAGUCGGGCCAUGCGGCCCCACUGCGUCGUUGGGAAUUACCCGGCCGUUAGACCGGCUGUGCCCAACCCCGGGGUAGUUGCCCACGCAUUACUGCCCCUUUCGCCACUCCCGUAUUGCUACGGUCGUCCGACUCGCAUGCCUGAUCCACGCCGCCAACGUUCGUUCUGAGCCAGGAUCAAACUC
rnacentral:rRNA from 1 species